rnacentral:rRNA from 1 species
UACGGGAGGCAGCAGUGGGGAAUAUUGCACAAUGGGCGCAAGCCUGAUGCAGCCAUGCCGCGUGUAUGAAAAAGGCCUUCGGGUUGUAAAGUACUUUCAGCCGUGAGGAAGGUGUUAAGGUUAAUAACCUUAGCAAUUGACGUUAGCGACAGAAGAAGCACCGGCUAACUCCGUGCCAGCAGCCGCGGUAAUACGGAGGGUGCGAGCGUUAAUCGGAAUUACUGGGCGUAAAGGGCACGCAGGCGGUUAAUUAAGUUGGAUGUGAAAUCCCCGGGCUUAACCUGGGAAUGGCAUUCAAGACUGGUUAGCUAGAGUCUUGUAGAGGGGGUAGAAUUCCAUGUGUAGCGGUGAAAUGCGUAGAGAUGUGGAGGAAUACCGGUGGCGAAGGCGGCCCCUGGACAAAGACUGACGCUCAUGUGCGAAAGCGUGGGGAGCAAACAGGGAUUAGAUACC